rnacentral:misc_RNA from 1 species
AUUCCACUUAAGCCUCUUUGCUUAGUGUUGGGAAUCUACUCCGGCGGUGCUACCCGGGACUUACCCUGUAGCUACCCUGUAGUUCCUCAAAGACAGCGGCGGAGACGUGGUAUCCUCUGAGCUUAGUAACUUGUUCCUAGCUUUCGAGUGGACCGCGCCCCUUGCCGUAAAACACCAUACUUUUCAAU